rnacentral:tRNA from 1 species
GGCCUGGUCGCCAAGUGGUAAGGCAACGGUUUGCAAAACCGUCAUUCAUCGGUUCGAAUCCGAUCCAGGCCUCCA